rfam:Brachypodium distachyon strain Bd21 chromosome 1, whole genome shotgun sequence.
CAGGGUACCCUUUGAUCCUCCUUAGUUCAACCAAAUAAACUAAAGUUUUAAAAUGACAUAACUUUUUAAAAAACUAGUUCAUUUGUUUGGAUUAAGGAGGGUCAAUGAGUACCCUA